AUCUUUCAGAUCUUUCAACCCAUAUAUCAUCUUUGAUAUCAAGAUUGUUUCUGAAUUGAAUCUGUGAGAAAGUUAAUAAGUGUUUCCAUCUUAAAAAUCAGUUUUACAGUAUUAAAACCUCUCAAAAUGGACUGCAAUAAUAAUUUGUUGAAUGCAAAUCAAUCCAUUUCACAACAACGGGAUCCAGGAGGCCAGCGAGGGAUGCAAAGCUCUUGGACUCAAAAUAAGACCAAUCAAAACCAGCAAUCAAAACUAACAACUGAAAAAGCAAGAGUGAGGGAAGUCAGCA